UACAGAGGGUGCGAGCGUUAAUCGGAGUUACUGGGCGUAAAGGGCGCGUAGGCGGUUGAAUAGGUGUGAUGUGAAAGCCCUGGGCUUAACCUGGGAAGCGCAUCGCAAACGGUUUGACUAGAGUAUAUGAGAGGGUGUCGGAAUUUCCGGUGUAGCGGUGAAAUGCGUAGAGAUCGGAAGGAACGUCGAUGGCGAAGGCAGGCACCUGGCAUAAUACUGACGCUGAGGCGCGAAAGCGUGGGUAGCGAACAGG
rnacentral:rRNA from 1 species